AACGAACGCUGGCGGCAUGCCUAACACAUGCAAGUCGAACGAGAACUUCGGGUCUAGUGGCGCACGGGUGCGUAACGCGUGGGAACCUGCCCUUAGGUUCGGAAUAACUCCCCGAAAGGGGUGCUAAUACCGGAUAAUGUCUUCGGACCAAAGCUUUAUCGCCUUUGGAUGGGCCCGCGUUGGAUUAGCUAGUUGGUAGGGUAAAAGCCUACCAAGGCGACGAUCCAUAGCUGGUCUGAGAGGAUGAUCAGCCACACUGGGACUGAGACACGGCCCAGACUCCUACGGGAGGCAGCAGUGGGGAAUAUUGGAAAAUGGGCGAAAGCCUGAUCCAGCAAUGCCGCGUGAGUGAUGAAGGCCUUAGGGUUGUAAAGCUCUUUUACCCGGGAUGAUAAUGACAGUACCGGGAGAAUAAGCUCCGGCUAACUCCGUG
rnacentral:rRNA from 1 species